rnacentral:lncRNA from 1 species
UUCAUUCACCAUCCGCACUAUAAAUACUGGUCAAGGUCCCCGCAGUAUCACCCAUCCCAGUAAUCUGAUUUCGAUCUAUUUGUCUGCAAAUCUUCCCAUUUGUUAUAUCACCAAAGGAAAACGAAAAAUGUCUGGCUGUGGUGGAAACUGUGGCUGUGGUUCUAGCUGCAAGUGCGGCGGCGGCUGCGGCGGGUACGUUACGCUUUCCAUUCUUCCAAUCCCUUUUAUUUAAUUAAAUUCAUCCCACAAACUGUAGUCUUUUUUUUUUUUUAAUUCGUUUUUUGGACAUGCAGUAGCUCCAUGUACCCUGACUUGAGAUCCUUUGAGAGCACCACCGUAGCCACCGAGACCCUCGUCCUCGGUGUUGCUCCUGUCAAGAUGUACGUAAAUGUGCAGUCGUUACAGAACUGUGUUUUAAAUUAUUGAUUUUUAUUUAACAGAUUUAAAUCAAUCUGACGUUACAUUAGCCUGCAUGGAAAAGGAAUCCAAACGGUGUCAUUAUUUGUGUUUUUAUAUAAAUUCAGGGACCCAAAUGAUGGAUAGGUUUGGACUGUAUUUGAUUUUUUUUUAAAUUUUUUUUCCCUCCUUGGGAUCAGGCACUCUGAGGGGUCCGAGAUGGGAUUCGGAGCCGAGGGCGGCUGCGGCUGCAAGUGUGGACCAAACUGCAAGUGCGACCCUUGUAACUGUUAAUGAAGACUACGAGACGUGAACAUGCCCCAGAAUAAAGCAGCGCUGUGAGGUCGUUUAAAUUAUAGUAUCAAUAAAAAGAACUAUUUAUCGUUUGUGGUUGGCUUUGUUGGAUGUCUUUUUAUGAGCUUUUGUUUGUAAAAUAAAACCAGCCAUGGCUGCUUCUCCGAAUCCUUAACUGGGUCUGUUGCAGAUCCAUGGCUAGUUAAUUAAUCAUUAAGUGUCUCUGUGACUUUGUGUACGAGCGUAUCUGUUACCGCUGCUUUUCUAAUGGGAAGCUUCCUCUCAGACUUUUAUCUAUAUUGUAAAAUGUGUUUGGUUUAUGUACUGUAUAAUAAAUUUACAACGUUGAU